GCAGUCGUGGCUUAAUGGUUAGAGAGUUGGCCUUGUAACCUGAAGGUCAUGGGUUUGAAUCUCAGGUCCAGCA